rnacentral:rRNA from 1 species
GACGAACGCUGGCGGCGUGCUUAACACAUGCAAGUCGAACGGAAAGGCCCUGCUUCUGUGGGGUGCUCGAGUGGCGAACGGGUGAGUAACACGUGAGUAACCUGCCCUCGACUUUGGGAUAACUUCAGGUAACUGGGGUUAAUACCGGAUAGGAGCUCCUGCUGCAUGGUGGGGGUUGGAAUCUUCGGCGGUUGGGGAUGGACUCGCGGCUUAUCAGCAUGUUGGUGGGGUAGUGGCUUACCAAGGCUUUGACGGGUAGCCGGCCUUGGAAGGUGAACGGGGACAAGGGGACUGAGAGAGGGAGCAGAGGGCAACGGGGGACAGCAGGGGGAAAUAUGACGCAGUGGGCGGGAGCGUAAGAAGACAGCGCCGGGGGCGGAAAGUCGGCCUUGGGGGUAUGAACGGAUUAAAGCUAUGACGAAGCGUCAGUGACGGUAAUGGGUGAAGAAGCACCGGCUAACUACGUG